rnacentral:rRNA from 1 species
ACGCUGGCGGCGUGCCUAAUACAUGCAAGUAGAACGCUGAAGGAGGAGCUUGCUUCUCUGGAUGAGUUGCGAACGGGUGAGUAACGCGUAGGUAACCUGCCUGGUAGCGGGGGAUAACUAUUGGAAACGAUAGCUAAUACCGCAUAAUAGUAGAUGUUGCAUGACAUUUGCUUAAAAGGUGCAAUUGCAUCACUACCAGAUGGACCUGCGUUGUAUUAGCUAGUUGGUGGGGUAACGGCUCACCAAGGCGACGAUACAUAGCCGACCUGAGAGGGUGAUCGGCCACACUGGGACUGAGACACGGCCCAGACUCCUACGGGAGGCAGCAGUAGGGAAUCUUCGGCAAUGGACGGAAGUCUGACCGAGCAACGCCGCGUGAGUGAAGAAGGUUUUCGGAUCGUAAAGCUCUGUUGUAAGAGAAGAACGGGUGUGAGAGUGGAAAGUUCACACUGUGACGGUAUCUUACCAGAAAGGGACGGCUAACUACGUGCCAGCAGCCGCGGUAAUACGUAGGUCCCGAGCGUUGUCCGGAUUUAUUGGGCGUAAAGCGAGCGCAGGCGGUUAGAUAAGUCUGAAGUUAAAGGCUGUGGCUUAACCAUAGUACGCUUUGGAAACUGUUUAACUUGAGUGCAAGAGGGGAGAGUGGAAUUCCAUGUGUAGCGGUGAAAUGCGUAGAUAUAUGGAGGAACACCGGUGGCGAAAGCGGCUCUCUGGCUUGUAACUGACGCUGAGGCUCGAAAGCGUGGGGAGCAAACAGAAUUAGAUACCCUGGUAGUCCACGCCGUAAACGAUGAGUGCUAGGUGUUAGACCCUUUCCGGGGUUUAGUGCCGCAGCUAACGCAUUAAGCACUCCGCCUGGGGAGUACGACCGCAAGGUUGAAACUCAAAGGAAUUGACGGGGGCCCGGACAA